GCUCCCAUCGUCUAGAGGUUAGGACCCAGGGUUUUCAACCCUGUAACCGGAGUUCAAUUCUCCGUGGGAGCGCCA
rnacentral:tRNA from 3 species